UGGUGAAGUGAUUUGUCUGCUUAAUUGCGAUAACGAACGAGACCUUAACCUGCUAAAUAGCCAGGCUAGCUUUGGCUGGUCGCCGGCUUCUUAGAGGGACUAUCGGCUCAAGCCGAUGGAAGUUUGAGGCAAUAACA
rnacentral:rRNA from 1 species